GACGAACGCUGGCGGCGUGCCUAAUACAUGCAAGUUGAGCGAUGAAGCUUGGUGCUUGCACCAAUUUGAAGAGCAGCGAACGGGUGAGUAACGCGUGGGGAAUCUGCCUUUGAGCGGGGGACAACAUUGGGAAACGAAUGCUAAUACCGCAUAACAACUUUAAACAUAAGUUUUAAGUGUGAAAGAUGCAAUUGCAUCACUCAAAGAUGAUCCCGCGUUGUAUUAGCUAGUUGGUGAGGUAAAGGCUCACCAAGGCGAUGAUACAUAGCCGACCUGAGAGGGUGCUCGGCCCCAUUGGGACUGGGACCCGGCCCAAACUCCUACGGGAGGCAGCAGUAGGGAAUCUUCGGCAAUGGACGAAAGUCUGACCGAGCAACGCCGCGUGAGUGAAGAAGGUUUUCGGAUCGUAAAACUCUGUUGGUAGGGAAGAACGUUGGUGAGAGUGGAAAGCUCAUCAAGUGACGGUAACUACCCAGAAAGGGACGGCUAACUACGUG
rnacentral:rRNA from 1 species